rnacentral:rRNA from 1 species
CGGAAGCGGUUCUCUGGGCCUUUCCUGACGCUGAGGAGCGAAAGCGUGGGAGCGAACAGGCUUAGAUACCCUGGUAGUCCACGCUGUAAACGGUGGGUACUAGGUGUGGGGUCCAUUCCACGGGUUCCGUGCCGUAGCUAACGCUUUAAGUACCCCGCCUGGGGAGUACGGCCGCAAGGCUAAAACUCAAAGGAAUUGACGGGGCCCCGCACAAGCGGCGGAGCAUGCGGAUUAAUUCGAUGCAACGCGUAGAACCUUACCUGGGUUUGACAAGGAUCGGGAGUGCUCAGAGAUGGGUGUGCCUCUUUUGGGGUCGGUUCACAGGUGGUGCAUGGCUGUCGUCAGCUCGUGUCGUGAGAUGUUGGGUUAAGUCCCGCAACGAGCGCAACCCUUGUUCACUGUUGCCAGCACGUUAUGGUGGGGACUCAGUGGAGACCGCCGGGGUCAACUCGGAGGAAGGUGGGGAUGACGUCAAGUCAUCAUGCCCCUUAUGUCCAGGGCUUCACGCAUGCUACAAUGGCUGGUACAGAGAGUGGGUCGACGCGGCCG